UACGUAGGGGGCAAGCGUUGUCCGGAUUUAUUGGGCGUAAAGAGCGUGUAGGCGGCUUUGCAAGUCCGUUGUGAAAACUCGAGGCUCAACCUCGAGACGCCGGUGGAAACUGCAAAGCUAGAGUCCGGAAGAGGAGAGUGGAAUUCCUGGUGUAGCGGUGAAAUGCGCAGAUAUCAGGAAGAACACCCGUGGCGAAGGCGGGUCUCUGGGCAUCUCCUGACACUGAGGCGCGAAAGCGUGGGGAGCAAACGGG
rnacentral:rRNA from 1 species